UCAAAUGAUGAUACCAAAAAGGUUUCGCAAUUCUCUGAUUACGAUGACGAUAAACCUUGGCUGUCUGACUGA
rfam:Drosophila ananassae strain TSC#14024-0371.13 Ctg01_15726, whole genome shotgun sequence.